AUACGUAGGGUGCGAGCGUUAAUCGGAAUUACUGGGCGUAAAGCGUGCGCAGGCGGUUUGUUAAGCCAGAUGUGAAAGCCCCGGGCUCAACCUGGGAACUGCGUUUGGUACUGGCAAGCUAGAGUACGGCAGAGGGGGGUGGAAUUCCACGUGUAGCAGUGAAAUGCGUAGAGAUGUGGAGGAACACCGAUGGCGAAGGCAGCCCCCUGGGCCGAUACUGACGCUCAGGCACGAAAGCGUGGGGAGCAAACAGGAUUAGAUACCCUGGUAGUCCACGCCCUAAACGAUGCGAACUAGUCGUUGGGGUAGCAAUACCUUAGUGACGCAGCUAACGCGUGAAGUUCGCCGCCUGGGGAGUACGGUCGCAAGAUUAAA
rnacentral:rRNA from 1 species